ensembl:lncRNA
UGCAAAGACUGCACUGUGUCAGAAAGGCCAAUAGCAGGCUUAACCCCUACUUAACCCCAGCCUGCCAUGGUGGCCUGAUGGCUUAUGUGGCCCCUAUGUGUGUCCUUUUAAAUUCUAGCUUACUAGUCACAGGAGUUAGGCUUCUUCUGCCAAAAAUAGGGCUCUGGCCACAUCUCUAAAGGAGGGCCCCUGAAGCAUACACAGAGGGCUGGCUGCCAAGACUGGCAGAGUGAGACAAGUACUUGAAAUAAACUCAGGGUGUUUGCUUACGGAUUCUUCUCCACCACCUCAUGGCCUUCUUCAUGUUCCACUUAGCCUUGUCUGUGGAUGGUCCUUUUUUGGGAUUCAAGGCAAAUCCCUAUUUCUGCUUUUGCUGCUGCUGUUCCAUCUCCUUUCCACUCCCCAAAGAGAUUUCAUCUGGACAGGAGCUGAGUGAGACAUAAAUCUGUGAUGUGUGGAGCUGAGUAACACCCUUCCUCCCACCUGAGAUUUCCAUCUGAUGACUUACCAGGGAACCAAUGAACUUCUGUGAAGAAUGCUUAAACCAUGCUCGGAAAUGGGGUCAGGCAUAUGCUGUCUCACUGAUACUUUUUGGAGUUCUGGCUGCAGCCACGUUUCAGGAAAGCAGUUUGGAUUCUCAAAGGAGAAGUCACUGAAGGUCCAACUAGCUGGCCUAGAGAGCCAGACAGCAGUAGGCCUGGUCUCCAGAGAGGGGCAGUGCCAAGGUCUCUGAGAACGCUUGGAGGAGGGCCCAGGUGCCAUAACUAGGUGACAUGCUCAAGUAGCCUCUGUAAUGCUUUGGGACCCAAAGCAAACCUGUGAAGGACAAAGGGUGCCAUUCUCCUCUUCCUCUUGGCAGUGACUAGGGCUAUCAGGGGCUUGGCAGUUGUGUUGGAAAGUCUCUAUCCAGUUCAGCAG